rnacentral:lncRNA from 1 species
CACAUUUCCUUUUCAGAUUUAGUGCAUAGAUAGUAUUUCCUUUAGGUUAAUCACAUAUGCAUGUAUGUAUGAAGCAGAACAUGAAAAGCACAACAUCUAAUUAACUUGAUUGCCUUGCAGGUGACACACAAGAUGAAGAGCACUUGGACAGAAGCUACUAUACUUGUGGAUGUAAUUAACCUAAUCUAAUGUGAUGGGAACAACAUCACAAUUCACAAGCAAGCACCCAUACUCUCAAAUUUAGUAUACAGUUGCUAACUGAAAUAAGUUCAGUUCAAAGCAGAGUAGAGAACAAGAAAUAGAGCUGCUUCAUGGCGCUGCUGCCAUUUUGCCGCAGGUGAGUUCGGCUUCCGAACGACACCGGUAUUGUGCCCCGCAUAAGAUUGCUUAGCAAGUCCCUGCAAUUAGUUGAGCACACAUCAUUAGACCGGCUAACAACCUUGCAGAUAGUUGGCUCUCACGUAACUGAACAUACAAGCAAUGAAAGCACCCAACAUUUUUGCAGGAUGCUAGCAAGAACAAGUGACCGGGAUGCAACUGUUGUUCCUCCACAGUCCUAAGAGGCUCGUUUUUGUCCCGUCGUCCAUCAAGCCAGACUGCAUACAUGUGCAGAAAACAAGUGUAUGAAAAGAUGGAUGCAACUGGUGUUCCCUCCCCCCCCCCUUAACAGGGAGCAAGAUGAGCAUAUCUGAGAUCAACCAUUAACAGAUUGUAGUGCUAAAUCUCAGAAAUCUAAUUUACCAGAUGUAGCAGAGACCUGUGGGAGUGCAUUUGUACAAAAUUGAACUAUUUUCAGUCAUUCAGUGCAAGCAUUCAGCCUAUGAACUAAUCCAUCAGAAUGCAUCCAGUGAACACUACCAAGAUCUCUGCUAUCGAUGAAAUCAGCUCACACAUUCAGUAUAGUCAAUCUAAAACGAACCACUCUUAGUUGGAUAGUUCAGUCAUAAGCAGAGACAGCUAUUGAAGUACCUUCCUUGAAGACGAGGCCCGUGAGCGCGGCGAAGGUGGCCUCUCCCUCUCUGCUCUCUCCCCAACCCCCCCAAAUCCAGCAGCAGCGGGAGCAUGCCCACGGCGACGACAUACACAUCCCCCAGCGCACGAGCUACUCCCUUGGAAACCAAACGCGUCAGCGAAGGAAUGGAAGAGAUGGGGAGAAGAUGGGCAAGAUAGUGGCUACCUUGACGUGGGAGCAGCUGCGCUGUGGCGUCUCUAGCACUGCCAUGGCGUCCGAACAGAAGCAAACGCGGGAAGAAGGACCCCGCCUCGAUCUGGACCCUGUGCCAGCGCCGCUCCGCCUCCUCCGUUGGGUGUGUCACAACAACACCUCGCGGGUGGCCG